UUUAAUAUUAGUUAUUAUAUUUAAUGCAGAGAAGACAAUGAGAUGAAAUGGAAAAGUGUAACGGGGCGGGGGCACGGGGGGCCUACGGGAGGCAGCAGUGGGGAAUAUUGGACAAUGGGCGCAAGCCUGAUCCAGCCAUGCCGCGUGUGUGAAGAAGGCCUUAUGGUUGUAAAGCACUUUAAGCGAGGAGGAGGCUACUUUAGUUAAUUCCUAGAGAUAGUGGACGUACUCGCAGAAUUGAACACGAGGCG
rnacentral:rRNA from 1 species